GCCGAGCACUCCUACGGGAGGCAGCAGUGGGGAAUAUUGCACAAUGGGGGAAACCCUGAUGCAGCCAUGCCGCGUGUGUGAAGAAGGCCUUCGGGUUGUAAAGCACUUUCAGUUGUGAGGAAGGUGGUGUCGUUAAUAGCGGCAUCAUUUGACGUUAGCAACAGAAGAAGCACCGGCUAACUCCGUGCCAGCAGCCGCGGUAAUACGGAGGGUGCGAGCGUUAAUCGGAAUUACUGGGCGUAAAGCGCAUGCAGGUGGUUUGUUAAGUCAGAUGUGAAAGCCCCGGGGCUCAACCUCGGAACUGCAUUUGAAACUGGCAGACUAGAGUACUGUAGAGGGGGUAGAAUUUCAGGUGUAGCGGUGAAAUGCGUAGAGAUCUGAAGGAAUACCGGUGGCGAAGGCGGCCCCCUGGACAGAUACUGACACUCAGAUGCGAAAGCGUGGGGAGCAAACAGGAUUAGAUACCCUGGUAG
rnacentral:rRNA from 1 species